rnacentral:sRNA from 1 species
GUACUUUCGAACGUGUGACUAUCUCACGGAGAAGAAGAUUUCUUGGACAUUAGUGUUCCAUUGGCAUUAUCCUCGCUGAGCUUUUUUUUUUCUCUAUGAAAACAGAAAAAAACAAAAAAUAGUUUUGUUUCUACUAAAUCAGAAAGUUCUUCUAUAAUUUAGAAGAUUUUUCUUGACCUUGCAAGGCUUAUUAGUUUUGUAUUGUUCUUUUAUUUUCUUUUAUCUUCUCUUCAUUUUUGUAUUUUAUUUUGUAUUGGUUUGUUGUUUCUAUUCCUCCUGAGCUUUAUGUAUAAUUCACUACUAAUCCCAUAAUUUCUCAGUUAUUAGUUCCUCUGAAACGUCUAUCUAAAUAUAUGUAAUCUUCGUUUAUCUGUUAAGUGUUUGAUAAGUGAUACCUUAACGAUGCUAAUGGCUACGCAAGAAAUUCACUCUCAAACAUAAUUUUA